rnacentral:misc_RNA from 1 species
AACCAUAGAAACCUGCGGAGUACCUGCGGAGGGAUCAUUACCGAGUUUACAACUCCCAAACCCCUGUGAACAUACCACUUGUUGCCUCGGCGGAUCAGCCCGCUCCCGGUAAAACGGGACGGCCCGCCAGAGGACCCCUAAACUCUGUUUCUAUAUGUAACUUCUGAGUAAAACCAUAAAUAAAUCAAAACUUUCAACAAUGGAUCU